rnacentral:rRNA from 1 species
AACGAACGCUGGCGGCAGGCUUAACACAUGCAAGUCGAGCGCUCCGCAAGGGGAGCGGCAGACGGGUGAGUAACGCGUGGGAAUCUACCCAUCUCUACGGAAUAACGCAUGGAAACGUGUGCUAAUACCGUAUACGUCCUUCGGGAGACAGAUUUAUCGGAGAUGGAUGAGCCCGCGUUGGAUUAGCUAGUUGGUGGGGUAAAGGCCUACCAAGGCGACGAUCCAUAGCUGGUCUGAGAGGAUGAUCAGCCACACUGGGACUGAGACACGGCCCAGACUCCUACGGGAGGCAGCAGUGGGGAAUAUUGGACAAUGGGCGCAAGCCUGAUCCAGCCAUGCCGCGUGAGUGAUGAAGGCCCUAGGGUUGUAAAGCUCUUUCACCGGUGAAGAUAAUGACGGUAACCGGAGAAGAAGCCCCGGCUAACUUCGUGCCAGCCGCCGCGGUAACAC